AUUGCAGGCUGCAACUCGCCUGCAUGAAGUUGGAAUUGCUAGUAAUCGCGAAUCAGAAUGUCGCGGUGAACACGUUCCCGGGCCUUGUACACACCGCCCGUCACACCAUGAGAGUCGAUAACACCCGAAGCCUGUGAGCUAACCGUAAGGAGGCAGCAGUCGAAGGUGGGGUUGAUGAUUGGGGUGAAGUCGUAACAAGGUAGC
rnacentral:rRNA from 1 species